rnacentral:lncRNA from 1 species
CUUUUGGUAGGUGCGGGUUAUGUUCUUAUCCGGAUUUUUCUUGUUUUCUAGAACAGUUGUUGUUGUUUUUUUUUUUUUUAUUGUUGUUCUAUUCCUCCUGAAACAUCGAUUGAUUGAUGAAUUUGUUUCUUACCGAUCUUCCUAGGUUAUAUUGUCUGGGUAAGGCGAAUUAAAUGUUUUCUGUAAUUGGAAAUAGGAAACGAGAUAGCGGAAAAAAAAGACGCAUUGUCCGUAUCAUUUUUCUUUCCCUCAAAAGAAGGUUAGAAACAAAAGAUUCUCCUAGUCGAGAGAGAGAGAGAAAGAGAGAGAGAACAAAGAAAUCAUCACCAUUGGAGAAAAUAAAAAAUAAAAAUAAAUUCUUGCUUUCAAUUUACCAUUUGAAAUUGGUACGUGUCCUUUUCGUAAUUAAGUUUCUCUCUUUGUCUUAUUAGCUAUGUACUUAUCGGGUAUUAGGAAUAGUAAUUUUGCAUGUUCAUGCGUGUAACAACCGAUGCCGAACUGAAUCGCUAAUGGCAGACUCUCAUUAUCAUACCUGAAUUGUUUGUUUAUCUUGUAUUAUCAUAGAAUGUGUUCCGACUACAAUAAUAUUACAAAUACUCUUCUCACGUGGCCGUUUUGGGAUUAUUGCUUAAGCUUUAAAGAUUGUUCCCUGCAAUCGUUGCUUUUACUUAAAAAAAAUAUAAAGAAAACAUUCUCAAUCGAUCGCGGAACAAUUUCGAGUAGUUAGUACAGAUUGAAUGUCACCGCCAUAAGGAGGCAUUUCAUCAGUUUUGCAAUAUUAGUCCAUAUAUCACUCCCAUCUUGACUUCAUCAACGAUUUCGGUCGGUCGUAUCUCUGCUUACGUAUAAUUGAGAAUCAUUACGAGUCCUGCACAGACGCCAACUAAUGGAUAGUAAUUAAGAUGAGCAAUAAAUUCUGUUUAGACAUGACGCGAGUGCAGAAAACAUGGACGCUGUCCUAAUUAAAUAUCCAUUAGAUGUUUGCACGCUAGUUGAACCGGAUGGACAUACUGGCCAGUCGUGUCUUCUCCAUUCUGUUGUAUGAAUGAUUAUUAUACUCUUUUAUCAUCUUCUAUAACAGAUAAGGAAACAAAAUUAAUUCCAAAAAUUUUCUAAAUUCUGUCUUGUAAAUUACGACGAUGACCGAAGGAAACGAAGCAAAGAACGCAACAAAUUCGAAAUCCCAGAUGAAUGCUCGUCACGUACAGAAAGAGAAGGGUGCUAGAAUUGAAUGUGGUGAGGUUGAGAAUGUCAGGGAUAUAGCCAUAUGUGUCAGGUGUGCAACGACUGUCACACAUUUAUCACGAAGCAAAGCAGCUUCAGUUUAGCGAGCGUGGAGUGAAUAUUGUAUAGGCGAAUUAGAUUUUGGAACGAAUACUGAAAACCAUUCAAUCAGGCCGUGUCAGCGAACGUGAUGGUGACAGUCGACGGAUCUUAAACACGACGUCGACAAAACUUGCUGACUUUUUACAACUGCAACUCAAAGACACAAAAUCGAAUUUACGUGAUACGACUGACCAACGCCCUACCGCUUUCACUUCAUAAUUGUUUCUUAAUAUUAAAAAAAAAAAAAAAAAAUGUGGAGAAAAAUAUUCCUUACGCUUUGCCAACCUUAUGGGAAUCGGAUUGGAAGGCACAGCUGUUUGGUCAUCGUCUGUUUGUCCACUCUUCAUACACAAACAAGCAGAUACAGCUAUUCUCACACGGAUUGACAACGAAAAGGAAUAUAUAUAGCCAGUAGGGAAAAUACUUGAAUGAUGCAUUGUCACUUCAGCUUGAAGAAGAUAAACAAAUAAUAUACAUUUCUUAUAUAUAUAUAUUUUUUAUAUUAUGCAUUGGAAUAUUGCGUUAAAAUCCGCAUUAAACGUGUUUUAAUAAUAAUAAAAAAAGAAAAAACAAUCGAAUUUUAAUUAAUAAUUUAACUGAUGC